rnacentral:rRNA from 1 species
AGCAGCCGCGGUAAUUCCAGCUCCAAUAGCGUAUAUUAAAGUUGUUGCAGUUAAAAAGCUCGUAGUUGAAUUUCGGAAUCAGUGGGUCGGUCGUGCCACUGGUAUGCACUGGCCCUACUGGUUCCUCCUUCUUGAAGAACUGUAAUGCCAUUAAUUUGGUGUUGCAGGGAAACAGGACUGUUACUUUGAAAAAAUUAGAGUGUUUAAAGCAGGCAAUCGCUUGAAUACAUUAGCAUGGAAUAAUGAAAUAGGACGAUCGAUCCUAUUUUGUUGGUUUCUAGGAUUGACGUAAUGAUUAAUAGGGAUAGUUGGGGGCAUUAGUAUUCAAUUGUCAGAGGUGAAAUUCUUGGAUUUAUUGAAGACUAACUACUGCGAAAGCAUUUGCCAAGGAUGUUUUCAUUAAUCAAGAACGAAAGUUAGGGGAUCGAAGACGAUCAGAUACCGUCGUAGUCUUAACCAUAAACUAUGCCGACUAGGGAUCGGAUGAUGUUAAUUUUUAAUGA